AUGAAAAUAAAGGCUAUGAGUAUUAAAAAAAAAUAAAAAUAGGCUAGGUAUAAAUCGCUCGAUAGGCUGAAAUAAGAAAUAGAGGCUAAAAAGAUAGAAAAAUUAAAUCGUAAAUAGAUUCCAAUUCAAAUUCAAUAGAUAAUAUGGAUGGUUUUUGUCUAUAGAGCUAGUCAAAUGGGUUGCUUGAACUUGAAAAUUCACUCACUCAAAUUGAAUAAAAUUGAAUAAGUAAACUAUUGAAUUGGAGCAGUAAUACAGAGCAUGCAAGCUUUAUCUGGAAUGAUUGGGUGUAAAGCAUCUAUAGGUGGCUUUUUAAGUCUCCCAUCAAAUCCCAAGGCUCAACCCCGGACAGGUGGUGGAAACUACGAAGCUGGAGUACGGUAGGGGCAUAGGAAAUUUUCGGUGGAGCGGUGAAAUGCGUAGAGAUCAGAAAGAACACCAACGACGAAAGCACUUUGCUAGGCCGACACUAACACUAAGAGAUGAAAGCUUGGGGAGCGAAUGAGAUUAGAUACCCCAGUAGUCCUAGCCGUAAAUGAUGGAUACUAGGCACUAUGCGUAUCGACCAGUGCAAUGUUGUAGCUAACACAUUAAGUAUCUCGCGUAAGGAGUAUGUUGGCAAGAAUGAAACUCAAAGGACAUGACGGGGGCCUGAACAGGCGGUGGUGCAUGUAGUUUAAUUUGAUGCAAAGCAAAAAACCUUACCAAGGUUUGACAUACCACGAAUCCUCUUGAAAGAGAGGGUGCCUUCGGAAACGCGGACAUAGGUGGUGCAUGGCUAUCGUCAACUCAUGCCGUAAGGUGUUGGGUUAAGUCCUACAACGAGCACAACCCUCGUGUUUAGUUGCCACCGUUGAGUUUGGAACCCUGAGCAAAUUGCCAAUGAUAAGGCGGAGGAAGGUGAGGAUGAUGUCAAGUCAUCAUGCUCUUUAUUCCCUGGGUGACACACGCACUAUAAUGUUGGGACAAAGGGUCGCGAUCCUGCAAGGGUGAGCAGACCCCAAAAACUCGUCCUCAGUUUGGAUUGUAAGUUGCAACUCACCUGCAUGAAGCCGGAAUUGCUAGUAAUUAUCGUUCAACCAUACGACGGGGAAUUCGUUCCUGGGCCUUGUACACACCGCCCAUCACACCCUAGGAGUUAGACAUGCCCAAAGUCGUUACCUUAACCACAAGGAGGGGGAUGCCUAACGUAGAGCUAGUGACUGGAGUGAAGUCGUAACAAGGUAGCCGUAUUGGAAGGUGUGGCUG
rnacentral:rRNA from 1 species